CAGAGAAGAGCAAGAAGUGCCUGCUUUUUGUGAGGAGGAACACACUGUGCUGCUUUCCCUGCCACAGCCACAGAGCCCUCACCAGCAGUCAUUCAACUCCUUAGCCUGUGAGUGUGCCAAGAUCCAGAGUUAUCUCAGGGCUAAACCAGAGGCUUGGCAGUGUGGGAGCAAGGAGAAUCCAGGUACCAUGUGAAAGCAGCACCUUAACGCAGCAAAAGCCCCAAGCAGCUCCUCAGGAUUUGGUGGUGUGGAGUGCAAUAGCCAAGGGAGGGAGUUGGAACAGGCAAAAGUUGCCCCCCAUUCUGCUUCACCACAUAUGUAGGAGAAAUAUUUGGAAAAAUUUGGAACAUUCCAGUGAAACCCUGAGAAAUUUCCAGGCAGGUAAGAUGUGG
rnacentral:lncRNA from 12 species